rnacentral:rRNA from 1 species
GACGAACGCUGGCGGCGUGCCUAAUACAUGCAAGUUGAACGCAACAAAGACACCAGAGCUUGCUCUACCGUCUUUGUUGAGUAGCGAACGGGUGAGUAACGCGUGGGUAACCUGCCUUAUAGCGGGGGAUAACUAUUGGAAACGAUAGCUAAUACCGCAUAACAAUAGAGAUUGCAUAAUCUUUAUUUGAAAGUGCCAACUGGUACACUAUGAGAUGGACCCGCGUUGUAUUAGCUAGUUGGUAGUGUAAUGGACUACCAAGGCGAUGAUACAUAGCCGACCUGAGAGGGUGAUCGGCCACAUUGGGACUGAGACACGGCCCAAACUUCCCUAACGGGGAGGGCAGCAGUAGGGAAUCUUCGGCAAUGGACGAAAGUCUGACCGAGCAACGCCGCGUGAGUGAAGAAGGUUUUCGGAUCGUAAAACUCUGUUGUUAGAGAAGAAUGUUGAUUAGAGUGGAAAAUUA